UACGUAGGGUGCAAGCGUUAAUCGGAAUUACUGGGCGUAAAGCGUGCGCAGGCGGUUUUGUAAGUCUGUCGUGAAAGCCCCGGGCUCAACCUGGGAAUUGCGAUGGAGACUGCAAAGCUUGAAUCUGGCAGAGGGGGGUAGAAUUCCACGUGUAGCAGUGAAAUGCGUAGAGAUGUGGAGGAACACCGAUGGCGAAGGCAGCCCCCUGGGUCAAUACUGACGCUCAGGCACGAAAGCGUGGGGAGCAAACAGG
rnacentral:rRNA from 1 species